rnacentral:lncRNA from 1 species
UGCCAAGAACCACAUGGAUGAGGUUGCAAUGUACCCUGGACGACAUUGUUACAUGUGCUUUCCCAAAUCCACGGACUUCUGGCUGAUCCGGGGUUGCAAUAUGCACUGCACCACCAUCCUCUCUCUUGGAAAUUCCCUUCGGCUGGGAAAGAAAUGGAUGAUCAAGGUCAGUGGUUUCCAACCAGGCUGAACAUCAGAAUCCACAGGAAUGAUGCUAAGCCCCAUUUCACCUCUGAGACUUUCAGGUUCAAGCGUCUGGAAUGGGGCCACAGAUCUGAAUUUUUAAAGAAGGGUUCUGGUUGACUCUGACAGUUACAUUAAAUGAGUAUAUUUUGGAACCACCAGGCUGAGUGGCCUUAAAAUUUUCUUCAAGAACUAAGGCUCCAGGGCAGGAGGGUACUAGGGAAACUGCCUGGCCACCUGACCCUUCUCUGAUCUCCUCACUCUCUCAGGUGACCCCUUCCUGGACCUAGCAUCCCUCAACUUUUCUGACUUCCCUGGACCAGGCUGGGAACUCACAUUCUCUUCUAGAGAAUAGAAUGCAAUAGAGUUGAUGGGAUGUCACUUUUGAUAUUAGUAUGUAAAAAGGCUGUGCACUCUCUCUUGCCUUCUCACUUGCUUUGAGGGAAGCCCACUGCCAUGUUGCAAGUUGCCCUGUGAAGAGGCCUCCAUGACAAGGAACUGUAGGGUCCCCUGGACAACAGCCAGCAAGGCAAUGAGACCCUUAGUCUCAUCAAUAGUCUACGAGGAACUGAAUCUUGCAAGAACCACAUGGAUGAGGUUGCAAGGUCCAAUUAGAUAAACUCAUCCUCGCUGGCAGAUAAUGGCACCAAUGUGAUCAUCCUCCUAGAGGUAUUUUCAUCUUGGUAUGGAGCCUCCAGAGCUAUCUUUGCUUGAAAGAAUGAAACUUCAGGAAUGAAAGUUUGCACAUAAAGCAAGCCCAUGAGAAAGACAUUUCGGGAAAACUAGAAUCCUGUUAAGUUAUGGGAUUUUUUUCAAGCCACAUGGUUGAUAAGUAGUCUGACCAGGAUCCUGGAGCAACACAAGGAAGACAAGGACCCUUGAAGACAAGGCAGCCUUGAAACCAAAUGAAGCCCUGGGCCAGUGAGCAUGGCAAGAGGAAGACUGUUAAUUGCGAGAAAGCUGGGUCUUGAAGAUGAUUCCAUAUCAACAUACAGGGAGUUCCACCACUGAAUGGUCUAUCGGUUGGGAAUGCCAUCAUUUAUUUUCACCAGUGGGGAAGAAUUGGUAUUAAUAUCAAAACCACAGUACUGUCAUACCCAGCUAUAAUUUGCAAUGUUUAUAUGCCUGUACGAAUGAAUAAUUAACAGUUAAAUGAAUCAAUAUAUAUCUAUCUAUGUGUAGGAAUAUCUAAUCUAUAAUAUAUGCUCGCGUAAGUGGUAAUUAAUCUCUUUUUUGAGACAGGGUCUUUCUCUGUCAUACAGGCUGGAGUGCAAUGACAUGAUUAUGGACCUUCAGGGAUUGAGCAGCUCGACAUCCCAAGGAUCAAGCAAUCCUCCGGCCUCAGCCUACCAAGUAGCUGGGACUACAGCCAUUUGACACCCCACCCAGUUAAUUUUUGUUUUUUGUUUUUUUGUAAAGACAAGGUUUAGCCAUGUUGCCCAGGCUGGUCUGGAACCCCUGGGUUCAAGCAAUCCUCCCACCUCAGCUUCCCAAAGUGCUGGGAUUAUAGGCAUAAGCCACUGCACCCAGCAUAAAUAAUCUCUUAUUUGUUCAUCCAUGGUGUUGUCUUUAGUUUUUAAAAAUGGAUCCUUUUGUUAUUCUUUUAUAGCCCCAGAUUAAGAAUUUGUCCAAGUUUUGUAUAUUUUUUCAGUUAUUUCAAUAUCAAAGCCCAGCACAUCUUUAAAAUCACUUCUAUGUAUAGAUAUUAACCUUUUUGACAUUUGUGUUUUGGUAUUCCAUAUUUACUCAGUUCUCCUUUCACACCCUCCCUUUAGAAGAGGAGUAUGACCAUGGCAGGAUGGAGGGGUAGUGGCAGUAGGGGCCAUAGUAUGUUUUCUAUAUUUAUCCAGCAUAUUUAAAACAUGGUAUUCUAGCUUCAAGGGAGAACAUUGAACUCCCAUUUGGACAUGUUAAGUUGAAGAUGUCUGUUAGACACCCAAGAGAAUAUGUCAAGCAGAUAUCAUCUGCCCUUGUUUUUCCUUUUCCAAACUGGCUCUCCUUAGUUCCAUCUCCAGAUGACAUGGUCCUCAAACCCUUUGUGAUCUUGGUUCUCUACUCCAGUUCUUCAAUGUUUUUCUUGAAUGUGGCACCCAGAAUUAAAUAGAGCACCCCAGAUAAUGGCUGCCCAGCAGGAUAGACAUGUGUUUGUUAUAUAAUUCUUAGAGACUAUAGCUGACGUCACUGGUGCCCAGCCCAUAUCUUCUUGAGCCCUAGCAUUUUCGUGCAUGGUGGCCUGAUUUCUAACUGUCAGCACCUAAAUAUCUUUGCCUGAGGACUUUCUCUGUCGGCCAGAGCCUGCUUUGUGCACAGUCAGAAGUGCCAAGGAGUCAACACUCCCCAAAGGAGUCUUCAGCCAGUAACGAAAUGAAAGGUGGAGUAUAAAAACCCCAGCUCCCUCACCACUCAGCUGGGGUAGCCCUGAGAUUCAUGCUCUCCACCCUCUUCAGAGUUUCCCGGCAGCAUCAUGUUCCUGUUACCCUUCUCACUACUGACUUGAUGCUCAUCCUUUCUUGGCUCCUUCCCUGUGUCACUUCCCCCAUCCCAUAUGGGAGAAGGCUUCCUGGGUUCACCUUCCAAAGUAAUUACUGGUACUGGAAUUCUCAUCUCAAGUUUUGCCUUAGGGUCACCCAAACUAAGACAGUGCCUAAUGCUGCAUCAGCUUUCUUACCAGUCACAUGAUGCUGUUGUAUCCUUAAUGUCAGAUAAACUCCCAGCUUCUUUUUAUGUCAACUGCUACCAAGCCACACAUUCUCAGUGCUGUGCCUUUGUUAUUGAUUUUUUAACCUAAACUCAGAGUUUAUGUUUAUUCCUGUUAUACUCUUAAGUUUUUUUCCAUAUUCCAACCUAACAGAAUAACUUUGAAUAUUGAUUUGUUCUUUCGUUGUGUUAACUAUCCCUUCCAGACAUGAGUCAUAUGUAGAAAUCUGAUAAGCAUGUUUCCUGUGCCUUCAUUCACUUAAAACAAACAAACAAACAAACUUUGAACAAGGUAGGGUUAGGAAAAGAAUUCUAAACUCAAUUCCUCCCAUUGUUCAAUAAUCAAGAUUCUUUCAGUAAGAAUGCUUAUUGGUAGUGAUUCAAACUAUCUGCACCAGUUCAACCCAGAAUUUACAAAUUUGCCCAUAGGAAUAUCAGGCAAGCUCAGCUCAGUUGCUUUGCUAGAAUAGAGAAGAUCCACAAUUAUGUCAUGCCUCUGAUACAUGAGCCUAUAACCUUAUCAGAAAGGAAAUAUGGUUCAUUUGGCUUGUUAUUAGCAAUUUUAUUUUAACCACUAAGAACCUCUGAAUUCAUUUCUAAAACCCUCCAAUCUUCCUUUUAUUUUCUUUUAUUUAUAUAUAUAUAUUUUUAUUUUAUUUUACUUUAUUUUUGAGACAGAGUCUCACUCUGUCACCAGGCUGGAGUGCAGUGGCAUGAUCUCGGCUCACUGCAACCUCUGCAUCCCGGGUUCAAGCAAUUCCUCUGCCUCAGCCUCCCAAGUAGCUGGGAAUACAGGUGCACACCACCAUGCCCAGCUAAUUUUUGUAUUUUUAGUAGAGAUGGUGUUUCACCAUGUUGGCCAGGAUGGUCUCGAUCUCUUGACCUUGUGAUCUGCCCACCUCGGCCUCCCAAAGUGCUGGGAUUACAGGCGUGAGCCAUCACGCCUGGCCUCCAAUCUUCCUUUUAAUAAUUUGAUCUGGAAUUUUAUCAGGGAGCUAUGCAUGCAUGUCAGGGGAGAUCAAGUUUAUGGUUUCCAGAAUCUACACUUUCUUUUUGAGAAUGGGAACUUUUGCCAGUACAUUGUUUUCCUAUCCUCAUUUCCAUAAUUUCUCAACAACAGUAAGUAGUUUUAAGGUCACAUUUGCAAGUUUUUUGAGGAGCCUGGGAUGUAACUUUUCUGGAGACUUCAACCUACUUUAAAUGGUCACAUGCCCCCUGUGUCCCUCACUGCCUCCCUUCUGCUGAGCUCUCCCCAGUCCUGGGAAGGCUGAUUCUUUAGCUAGAGAACCCAGACCAGCCCUGUGGCCUCAUAUUUCCACAUCAGCCUUCUUGAAUCUGUGUUCCUCCCCCCUCACUUAUCUUUUUACAUCAAACACAUGGCUCAAAGCUUUUGAUAUUUGACUUGACUCUUCAGGACCCCAAGCUCCUCUGACUCAGCCCUCCACCCCCCACCCCUAACCCACGGCCCACUCUGCUUGAGGGCUCCCCAAAACCUCAAACUCCACCGUAAGCUCCCUGAGCAGCCACAAGGAUUUUGGGGUUUGGUUUGGUUUUGCCUCUUACUCCCUUUUCAUUUUCCCUGGCAUCAUUCACAUUCACCAAUCAGAUUCAUUUUUAUCAUCUCCUAUUCCUCAUGAGAAAUACAUUUUUUUAUAACCUUUUACCUUGAAUUCAAAUCCAUUUUUCCUCUGAAGCACCUGAGGUGAGGUGGGUAUCUCCUCUUGUCCUAAUCUUAUCCACAUGCCAUGAUAUGGUUUGUCUGUGUCCCUACCCAAAUCUCAUCUUGAAUCAUAGCUCCUGUAAUCCCCAUGUGUUGUGGGAAGAACCUGGUGGGAGGUAAUUGAAUCAGAGGGGUGGGUUUUUCCCAUGCUGUUCUUGUGAUAAUGAAUAAGUUUCAUGAGAUCUGAUGGUUUUAUAAAGGCGAGUUCCCCUGCAAAAUGCUCUCUUUCCUGCCACCAUGUAAGAUGUGACUUUGCUUCUCCUUUGCUUCCACCAUGAUUGUGAGUCCUCCCCAGCCAUGUGGAACUGUGAGUCAAUUAAACCUCUUUCCUUUAUAAAUUACCCAGUCUCAGAUAUGUCUUUAUUAGCAGCAUCAAAACAGACUAAUACACACCACCAGUUUUCCUCCUGCAUGUUCCUCAGUUCUGCUAGAACUGUAAAAAGAUGGAUUCCAUAGACUGGAGUCACCCUGAGGGCAGGGAUGGACCCCUAU